rnacentral:lncRNA from 1 species
AAAAAAGAAAAGUCUUUGCCUUGGUAGAGAUGCUCUUUCCAGGUCACGCUCCUCACUGCAAGGUGCUUCUAAUUGAAUAAAAGACUUUUCAUGUUAAAAGAAAAAUAGCAGCGCCCAGCCGACAGUGGCAAUUGUCGUCAGACAAUAGACCGAUCUCCGCGGGCCGUCUCAGUCAAGUCGCUCGCGUACGCCGCGUGGUGAGCAGCUAGCGGCGCGGCGGGGAAAACGAAGCGCGGGCAGAUACGACAGUACUGUCUCCAUCCCGUUCCGGCCGUGGAUGGAGACGGGCGAUCGGGCGAGGUCAGCACAACCAGAAUCUGCAGGCGCCGCCGGCCCUGCGAUCGUGUCCCGGAGCCUCCCGUGUACCUCUCGGUUCCUCUCCAGUAUUUUUNNNNNNNNNNNNNNNNNNNNNNNNNNNNNNNNNNNNNNNNNNNNNNNNNNNNNNNNNNNNNNNNNNNNNNNNNNNNNNNNNNNNNNNNNNNNNNNNNNNNNNNNNNNNNNNNNNNNNNNNNNNNNNNNNNNNNNNNNNNNNNNNNNNNNNNNNNNNNNNNNNNNNNNNNNNNNNNNNNNNNNNNNNNNNNNNNNNNCGUGAGUUACUACAAGCUAGUAUAGCUGUAUAUGCUUUGCUUACCGUGCGACGUUGGAUGUUGCAUGCUUGCCGAGCUAGGUGAAGGGAUCGCCUUUCCUUGCAACGCUGCAUGAAGGACCCUCCAAGCUCCACUGGCGUGAGGGUAUCUCCAACGCGACUCUUAAACUUUCCGCAUCCGCUUGUACCGUACCGUCCCAACCACGAAAGCUAUCCAACGCGGUCAUGUAUCGAUCUGCAACACAGUUCAAACACGGUUUUUUUUCAAACUAGAGACAAACGCGAGGAGAUUUGUGGGAGUCUGCAUCGCUGUCAUGACAGCUUAUGACAGCAUUGGCCCACCAAACAUCCCUCCCCCCUCGGCGCGUGCGCUUCCCGCCCGUUUCCCAGCUGCCCGCAUCCAUAUGCCACUGUAGAGCGCGCCGCUCCACAUUGAAGGCGGCUCAGAGCGGACACGACCUUUGACUGCCUUCGUCGUUGAAGCGUCACGCCACCCGCUGCACGCCCGACUGAAACACACCUCUCUGCCGCAUUCAAAGGUCUACAUUAAACCUGCGUGGAAGCCGAGAAACCUACUCUGGCCACAUGUUCGUUCAUGAGCUGGCCGGCAUUAAACACAACGCCGGGCAAACUCCUCUCGUUCAUCCUCUAUUUAAACGAGGCCAGGCGUCGGGCAAGAAUCACACCACUUUGCCACUCCCUAUCUCAUUCUUCCACCAUUUUAUCCAAUCUUUCGAUCGCAUCCGACGAGCCGGAAUAGCGGGGCUCCGACAUAAAAGCCGGCUGGGUGGCCCGUCGAGCCCGCCGGAUACGAGCGAGGCAGCUCCUUGCUCCACCUCCCUCGCCUAGCCCGACGGAGCAAGUUGCCGGCCCAAGCCGGCGUGUGGUUCAGCAACUCGCAGCUCCACGCCAGAUCGCGUAGGAGUGGCGAGUUGCUCCAUCCCGGCAUGGCAGGGAGCACAACGACACGGGCAUAGUCGCUGCCGUCGACGUUGACACGUCGUACCACGCCUACAGUGCCUGCGACCGUGCCAUCCGCCGUCAACGUGCACGUAGCCGCGCCAUGCACGCAGAGAAAGAAGCCGGCUAUGCAGAUGGCGACAAGGUGGCGGCAUGCACGUCCAUGCCCGUCGCCAUCAUCGAGGUGAAAUAGAACACGGGAGGCCGUCGCCGCUUGGGUCCCAGGAAGGACACCUUUGAGGCACCGCCGGCAUACACAGUAGGUAUCUUGCCCUCUCAUCGGCCACCAUCAUCCCCUUACCCAAGAACCAACUUUGAUCCGUGCUGCAGAGGGACCCUUCCCCUCCGGCUAAAGCAUCAGGCGGCAGUUUCCACUCCGAUGAGCGGCGGGGAAGCGAGUCGUCCUUUGCGCUGAAGCAUAUACCUCCGGGACUUUCCGCUGACGGUCAUGGGGACGGCGUUGGAGACCCGCCGCGCCGGCUGUAGACUAGCCCGGUUUCACUUUUUGUUGAAAAUAUGUUCAAAAUGUAACCGUUUUCGUCCGGAUUGUAUGAAAUCCGUCAUGUUUAUAUGAAAUCCAACCGAGUUUGCAUGAAUUUCAUCCAGUUUGUUGAAAAAGAGUUUGAAAUGUAUGCGAUUUUUUUGUUUUUAUUUGAAUAAAGAGUUGUGAGGCUGUUGCCUUGCAGUACAUAGUAAAAAAAUGUAUACGGCUAGCGUUGGAUGGCGGCGUCCCACAUCCUGGUCCGCGGACUGGUCCCCCCUUAUUCGUGGAUGGAUGCGAGAGAAAAUUUAUAGGUCGCCGUUGAAGAUGCCCUAAUGUAGCUUGCACUCACGAAAUGCAGACGGAUAGCAACAAGGAUGACAGUAAUGGCUUUCCAUUUUGUUUAUUGGAAAAAGAACCAAGGUGCGCCCCUGCAGAUAUAAGCCAGUGCAUAAGCACAACUCUAACUUGGAUCACCAGACAAACGACACUAAAUGUUUGUACACACGUCUAGACGUGUCUGUGUCCCGCCAUCCAACCGUAAUCAUCAGAUGUUCAUAAUGCCCAAUGAUAAAUAGCACGAUUCUUCAUAAUUAAAGUAUAAAUACUUCAAUGCAACAAUAAUUCGAAUAGAAAUAUUACAAUUCAAACACGGCUCCGGUGAGUUUUUUGUGUGUCUAUGCUGUCAGGUCGUGUGUGGCGAACGACCAAACGUCCACAAACCUCCUCCUGGUUUGAUGCUUCUUCAAAAGAUUUCGGACGUUUGAACAGGUCCAGAUAAUUUGAUGACUCAAAAAUGUUUGGAACGUUGGUCGGAUCGUUUGCUGGGGAUUUAGUGAUCCGCGUUGAAGUUAUCCUAAUCAACUUGUCGUGUGCACAUGGGAAGAUGUGCACCUUGUGCCCGCACGUGCUUGGUUAAGCACUCACCACUAGCAGUUCACUACUCUGGCUGCUGCAGGAGCGAACAAGCAGUGGAUGGCACAGGCCAUGCAUGUGCACACGAUGCGUGCAAUUGCCCUCGAGACCCUGCGGCUGUAACCGGAUCGAUCUAGCAGCACGUGGUGCAACAGUAGUAGAGUUUAUGGAUAGAUCCACGCCGUAACAUGCCGUCCAAUACGACACGGAUCGGAUCGACCGCACUUCAUCACGAGUCAAAAGCAAACCACAACCUCCAUACGUAUCCGUACUGCUCUUGCACACAUAGAGAUCUUGGAGCACUCUUCGCACAAAAAUGAAGAAAGAGAGAUCUUGGUGCACGACGACGAGAAAACACAAAGAUGCCAAGAACCGACGAUUCGUUGGAGGCUCGCCACCUGGAAUUAAAUCAUAGGUUUGGAUUUAAUGGCAUCUUCAAGCGGACCCAUAAACCUCCAGAAACUUUUCGAUCUGCGUUGUCCGGACCGCCGAAGCCAUCCAACGCGGUCGUGUAUCGGUCCACAGGAAGGUCCGGACGCGAUUUCUCCCAUAAACCGAAGACAAACGUGAGAGAGGUGUGCAAGAGUCCGGACCAAUCCCACGCACGCUUCUGACCAUCCUGGCCGACCAAAAACCCCUCACCCGCCCCUCCCGCGCUUUUCUUCCGAUGCAGGCGCCGCUUAACGCGUCGUAUUCAUGUCGGCCCAGAGCACGCGGAGGCCGACAUUGAUGCCACGAUAUGACCGGGGAGGAUGGAGGGCGGCGCUAACCGGCGCGACCUCUCGAUGGCCGCCGCUUCAAUGCGGACGCAGGUUCUUGAGGAACCAACUCCGUCCGCUGCGCCGCAUUGAAGCGGACCCCAUUCGCAUGGGCCUCGUCGCGGCUAUUCAAACAAUGCGCCGGAGAUCCACAGGCAUGCACCACCCCCUCCCCGAGCAUCGGCCCUUUCCCCUCCCCCGUCUCCGUGCCCUCCCCCCUCCCCCUUCUUGACCCAAGCUUCGGCGAUGCCGAAGUCGUGGUGCUCCGCACCGGCAAGCGGAGUAGGCGGAAUCCUCCGACGGUUCUUGGCACCGCCGCAGACGCUCUUCGGGCCAGUCGACGUCCACGGCGGCCCGCUCCUCCGCCCAGGAGGAGAUCAUCAUCUCCACCGGUGACGAGGAGGACCAGGCGCCGCCGCGGCAGACGCAUGAGCCACCGUAGCAGCUGCGUGGACUCCUCAAGGAGGCCGCUCUAACGGACGAAUAUUUCUUCCGUCAGAUCGAUAUAAUCAAGGAGUGGUCACUCCGCAACAUGGGGUUGUCGCCGCCCGUGUGAAGGAGGAGCCGGGCUCCCUGCCCGCCACCGCGACAAGACCGAGUCGGCACAACCGCAACGUCCAGAUCAGACAUCGUGUGAAGGAGGAGCCAGCCUCACCCCGCACCACCACGGCGUCCGGAUCAGACUCUGCGUAAAGGAGGAGCAUGCAUCUCCGCCACGCAGCUAGUAUGGCCGCAUCGACGCGCCGUUGUCGCCGCCGCGCCGCCACUGCCUCGCCGUCAAGGAGGAGUUGUCGCCCGCGAUCAAGAAGGCGCUGGGCCGCCUCCUCACUACCUCAGCGGCCCCUCGGGCUCGGGGGGUCGUCGUGUUUGAGGCGGAGCGCAUGACUCGGCAGCAGGAGCGGUACGACGACGCAAUGCCAGUCGUUGCUCCGCAUUCACCAAGAGCGACGUGGCGCUAGAAUGAGUUCGUAACGACCCAGACCUCACUGCCACGUGGGCGCUUGACCUCUCUGUGACCACCACAAAGACGGUUGCCAGGCGUCGCCACUGCCUUGACAGCGAACUCGCGAAGAUCGGCGAGGAGUGGCCGCUUAGUGGCAAGGUCGCCACCAGGGCUCCGAAGGCCACGUCGGCAGUGGCCACAACGGCAGUCCGCACGGCGUAGUGGGAGGCGGAGCGGCUCCUCCGCGAGCAGCAGACAUCCGCCAGACAAGGCUGUCGCAGCCCUCCGGCGUCGUACCGCAACUGGAGGGACGGCGACGAUGGCACCGAUGAAAGGGCAGGGCGGCCACGCAUACGAGGUGGUUGUCCGGUAUAGGUUUAGGUUUUUUUUCUAUUCUUUUAGUUGAACGGUUGAAAUAUUGAUCUUUUUAUGUAAAUUAUGUCCGAACUUGAAUGAAAUCCGUCCGGUAUGAUCGAAUUUCGUGAGGUUGGUUUGAAUUGUUGGUCGGAUAUAUGCAGCUAGCGUUGGAUGUCGGCCUCCCACAUCCGUGUCCGCAGACUGGUUCCUCCGUAUCUGCGGACGGAUGCGGGAGGAAAUUUGUGGGUUGCCUUGAAGAUGCCCUUAGGCACCGCAUCCGUCCUCGGGCAGGGGAUCAGUCCACAGAAGUAGCUGCGGGAGCCGGCCAUCCAAUGCUAUCCACACAUAUUUCAAAUUGCAUUUUAACUAACUGGACAAAAUUCAUCAAAUACGACGGAGUUCAUCAAAUUUUAGAUAGAAAAUAUCACAAAUCAUCCAUACAUAGAAUGCAAACUAGUCUAGUACAACGAUAGUUUAAGUUCAACACAAAAUAGUUCAAAUUCAACUAGAUUAACCGAAUGUUCAACAAAACUUUCAUCAAUGGAUCAUGUCAUCCCACACAUAAUGCCCUUUGAGUUUCAUCCAACAAUGUAUGUCCAUGAAUGACCUGUCCUCUUUCCCGUGGUACAUCACUAUUGAAUUUAUGCUCCAGCCAACUCAUCCAAAAGUCCGAACAGAUGGAGGGAGGUGAGCAAUAUAUUUCAACACUCCCCCUCACGUCUAGGCUAUUUUAGUCCUUAGAUGUGGGAUCGAUGUAGGCCGCAGAAUCGUUUUAUUUAAUACUGCGUCGGCAGGGUCUUGAACUCAAGACCUCUUGGCUCGGAUACCAUAUUGAAUUCAUGCUCCAGCCAACUCAUACAAAAGUCCGAACUGAUGGAGGGAGGUGGGCAAUAUAUUUCAACAAUCACGACAAUGUGUAUAGGCUACACGAUAUAUAGAGCAACAUUGAGUGAAUAAAUGAAUCAAUCAACAAAUUGGGCAAGAAGAAGCAAAACUUAAGAUCUCAACGACUAUCGCGCGCAAUGGCCACAUUGCCUCCAGCCGAUCAACCACUUUACAAACUUGACUUCACAUUGCAUUCAUGGAUGAUGUGCAUGGUGCUUAUUGAGCGUGAAACGAAUCAUGCCCCCGCUGCCAGAAGAGCCCCUUUCUGCUCCUGCCUACAAAAUUCGCGGAUAUGACCAACCACACAUUACACAACAAUCAUCCUCCAUGCUCGAGCACCCCGCCAUCCUUCGUACUCUAAAAAAUGACAUCAAGUUCAAAAAUUGCUCAAUGACAUGUGACCAAACACCUGUCGGGCAUGGUGUCAGCCAUGGACAUCGCCGACAAGGGGGCGUAGGGUACCUGGCUGCGAAUGCAUCCUGGGUGGGCGGCGCCGUACUACAAGUCAAGCUGGCCCGUGGGUGGUGGUUGCGGACAUCCAACAAUGUCUGCGUGGCACCCAAAGAGGUACAAAUGUGGCGUUGGAGGAGGAGGGCACGGAUGCAAAGCAAGGGGGAGUAGGGGCGAAGUGGAAGAGACUGGCACUGAUAGGGGGAUUUGAGUGGCCUGGGGGUGUCGGAGUCCUACAUGGCUAUUGUUCGGACUCCCGCAAAGCCCCCCAGUUUGCUUCCACUUUGCGGGAAAAAGUGCGUCCGGACCGAUCGGCAGACCAACACUGGCCCGUGUUGGAUGGUAAAACAUGUCCGGACCGUGGGGUCUAGGCGGAUGCGGGCGUUUGAGGGUCCACUUUGAGAUGCCCUUAUAAAAGAUUAUUUAUUUAUUUUGCUACCCCCUGUUCCAUAAUAUAAGUUUAUUUUGGGGGUGAAAAGGAGUUUUAUUCCAUAAUUAUAGAGUUACAGUCGAGAUGCAGAAGUACCUCGAUACAGGGGACCCCUUGGUACAACCUCACAACAGUGGUGCACUCACUACAACUACAAUUCGCCAACCAAUCGGCUACUCUAUUUUGAUCUCUACCGAGCUUCCGUGGAAUAAACUCCCCAUCGUCCAUCAAUGCUUUGAUCUUGGUAGCUAGGUGUCCAUAGGCCAAGCAGACAAAACCACUACCCGACGGGAUAGAAAGAGCCUCUAUGGAAUCUGAUUGAACAAUGACUAGGAGAUUACUAUGUUGAAUGGCAAGAGCCAUCCCUUGCAUCAGUGCAUGUAUCUCCGCCUCGAAAGCUUCAUUACAAUUGAACAUGAACCAGUAUGUCGCAAAGAUCACCGAACCGUCAUGAUAGUGAAGAAUCAUGCCUACAACCGCCUUACCGUCGUCCAAAGACAAUGAACCAUCAACAGAUAACGUGACUUGAUCGACCGGAGGUGGCGGCCGGCGAUGUGCAGGGGUUGGAAUCCUCACCUUUGGCUGUACCCCGUCUUCCACAACUGGCAUCUUUCCUUUAACUAUCUCCUCAAUUGUGUACCUCCCAGCAUGAACAAUGGAUUUAUGUAGCUAUCAAGGAACUCCACCAUAAUAUCAAUGAGGGUGCCUCCUUGCCAUGAACUAGGUCAUUGUGCAGCUGCCAAAUUCGUCAUAUUAGAUAAUAACGCGGUCGCGAACGUCCUCUGAACAACCACACAAAACGUUAAGUAGCCAGUCCUGUCUCAACUAGUUGGUCAUCGGCAGGUAGUUGCCGUCUAGUCUUCAUCCUUACCCAAAUACACUUGGCGUGGUCACAAGAAAUCAAUGCAUGGCAGAUUCCCUUGUCCUCUACACCACACAAGGUGUAGGUCGAACGUGUGGACAAGUGCCGAGAAGCCUUGCAGGUCGUGAUAGCAAGAGCACCCGACAUUGCGCUCCAAAGCAUGAUCUUCCUCUUUUGGGGAACCUUUGAUCGCCAGGUUAAGUUCCAAAUGAUCCGAUCCCCUUCUGGGCUCGAGCUCAAGGCCCGCCGCGAAUAAAUCAUCAUUAGGACCUGUCGUGAGUUAUAUGCACUCCUGAUAGAAAAGUGCCCACACUUCUUUGGGAACCAUAGAAAAAAACCCUCACGCUGUCUGGGUGAAGUGUGGAUUUUUACAAUUUCACGCACAUCCAUGGGCUAGAAGUGGUCCUGAAGACGAGAUGAACGUCCCAAGCAUCAAAAUCCGAGACCCAAUCAAAGCCGCAGUUCUGUUUAGGUGUCACUGACCUGAAAGACGGUCCCCUAGGGAUCCAGGGAUCUCUCCAUGUUCGAGUGGAAGAGCCAUCCCCCACUCUUCAAAUUAUACCUUUCUUAACAAGUUCAAGUAUGUACUCAAUACCUUUUCAUAUUGCCGAUGAGUUACCCAAAAACACCGUGUCUAGAAGAUUGCCAUUGGGGAACCAUUACAAGUUAUUACACCUAAUGUGUGAGUGAUCUCCUAUAGAAAAUAGCCUAAAAAACACACUUUGCCUACCAACACAAAAAUGGAAGAAAUGAGGUUGCCAAUCUCUUUCACGGUCUCCAUCCUUCUUCAGAUCUCUCUCUCAUUCUCCCUUACCACAUUGGCGACAAUUCAAAUCUCUCUCAUUAUGUCCCCAUAUUUGCAAUAAAAUAUGUUCACGUGCGAUCUGCAUUAAAUCAAAAUUUUGAUUUGAGUGAAUUUCUGCAAUACAAGUUAUGUAUAUUUUUCAAAAGAAAUCCACUUUAUGAUUUUUGCUUGUAACACAGAUCACCUAUUUUAUUUUAUAUGCCAAAAAUUGACAGACACGAGUUUACACCCACUUAAUAAGCGCAUCAAUUUUUAUCUGUGAGUUCUACAAAACUUUUAAAAAAUGCUAUACUCACUAAGUUUCGGAAAAUGAGUUACGCAUUUUCUAAUAAAUCCGCUCUAGUCGACAGCCAGAUGAUCUAGGUCCACUCCAACGAAACGUGGGCCAAAAAUAUCUCCACUCAUAGGAGAAGAGGCAGUGGUUUCUCAAAAAUAAAAAGAGGCUGUGGAUGCCUGACUACAGUCUUUGAACAAACAUUUUUGUCAUUUCACCGCUUCCGGUGCUCAAAUAAUCGAAGAGAUUAAUCAUUGUACCACCAGCUCCACAUAAAAGAACAAAACACAAAAACGCCGGGAACCAACCCAAUGAUAAAACACCACUUGAAACGGACCAUGCAUGCGUCCGGAAUCCCAUAAGCAUGCCCUCCGGAAUAAAACAGAUUAGGGUCACACCACGCCGAUCAGCAUCACGUCCAUGUGACCGGCCACCAACCGGAGAGAAGAGAAUGGAGUGGAGAGCGGCCGCUAGCUUGCGUCGGGUCCAAUCCAAACGCCAUAAACACUCACACCACUCGGCGCCGUGGUGGGUAGAGCGAGCGAGCGAGGGAGGGGCCGGGGACCAGACCAACUCCCCAUGAUGCUGUCAGUGGCACGGAAUGUAGAGACAGCGCUGAUAGGCCGAUGGCCGAACGCCGUGCGCUGUUGCCCGUGAUUACCCGAAUGGCCGGAUCGCCUUUGCUAGUAGCCUUUUUGGCUUUGGUGGUGCCUCGCAGGUGAUGGUGGUGGUGGGCAGGCCGGGACCAUUUACAGCGGGGAUAAGAAAUCGUCCAGGUGAAGAACUGUUCCUUGGAACGAAUGCUGAAGUUUCUCAAAAAAAAAAAAAAACUUGGGAUGCUGAAUGUGCCAAGCUGGCACUGACUGACAUGUGGAGGAGCAUCGCGCCCGUCCGUCGCCGUCCCGCUGCAUCCGGUAACCACCGCCGAUCAACGUCGGGCGGGCCGUGGCGAGGGAAGUCCACACGGUUACGAUCUCCCCAUCAUUUCACCCCACCCCACCUCACCUCACCCCAAAGCGUCAAUGGCAAUCAAUCCGAGGACGGGGAAAGAUGGGCUGGUAGCGGGCGGGUGAAAAGGCAGGAAAUACUUUUGCUUCCCCUCCGCUGGGGCAAACGCAAGCCCGAACGAAAAGGGCUUCGUCAGCCGGGGGCAGAGAGGUUAAAAAAAGGUUAGGGGAGGGGAGGCCGGCGGAGCGCGAGGGGCGAGGCGACGCGGUGCGGUGCCGGGGACGGGCGCUGCUGGCCACGGUUAUAAAAAGUAACGGGGCGCGUCGCGGGUAGAAAGCCAGGGGAGGGUGCGGUGGGAGGCAGGCCGCGGCUCAUUUCCCCCCUUCUUUCUUCCCCCCGCCCGCCCGCGCCGUUCCACGCCGCCGCCGCCGCCCGCCGCCCGCCGCCCGCCGCCGCCACGGGGACACAAUCACCGGCGCCGCGCCCCACCGGCCUCCUCCUUUGCGCCGCGCCGCGCGGGGCUGGGCUGAGGUGGGCCGCGCCGACACGCGGCACGUGGGGAGCCACCACCACCACCACCACCACCACCCCUAUGCUCCUUUGCCCGCCUGCUAAGGUAAGGUAUGGCAUCGAUUCCGCUCCAUUGCCCCCGCCUUUCUCGCGUCGCGCUCCGUCCCUCUCUCUCCCUCCUCGCUUUGCUUGCUCCAGGCGAUUUGCCCCGGAUCUGUGUCCCAGCCGCCGGAUCUGAGCGCCCACCGGGCAUUCGCUCCAAUGCGAAUCCAUGUAUAGGUUUGUGCCUGGCCGUGCCGCGAUAGCUUAUUUUCAGGAUUGUGCCGGGAUGCUUUUCUGUUUGGAUUUUUCAUCUUCCUUUGGUUGGCUGAUUUAGAUUUUUGCGCGGAAAGGUUCCUUUUCUCCCGUUAAAAGGCGCCUUUUUUCUUCCUAUAGAUGAGAAAAAUCUAUGUUUUCUGUGCUUGCAAUGUAAAUUGUGAUUGAGGUGGCAAUGCAGAAGUUUGAGAGAGAAGCUCAGAAAAACAAGGUAGCAAUGCAGGCGUUUUCCCACUAAUUCCAACCUGAGGCGAUAUUUUGAGUUCGGAGAUGUUUCUAUAUGUAUGGAUUUUGCUACGAUAAAUCCGUUUCAGCCAGUAAUGGGAUAGCAACAUUAUUUUCGAAUUUUGAUGUUUCAAGCAACGGUAUAGCUCGAUCACCACGCCAAUUGAGAUGCCGGGUCGUUAUUGCGAUUGAUGAAUAGCAUCAUUGAUAGUACCGAUACUGUUUGCAAUGUCCAGCUCCACCAAUGUUAUACACUUCUACCCUGGUAUUAAUGUAUGCCUAGUAUUAUGUGAUUUAGGUAAACGAGUGCUAUAUCUGAUUCUGAUAUUUCCCUGAGAAAUAUGUUUCGUUUUGUGCAUUAAUGUUGGUUCUAGCAACACGUGAGCCGCAAAUUAUUAUCCACUUAAAAUGAUUCAAUUCAAAAUUUUGCUGUGUACAGACCUCCAUGUAUCUUAGUAUAUUAAAAGGGAUAUUAAAAUGGAUUCUUUAAACUAGAUUCGGAAAUGUUGCUAAAUUUGUGUUGGUUUCUGAUAGAGAUCGUCAGUUGACUGCGUUAUAUAUAAUCCAAAUGGUUCUACGUCGCAUCAAUGUUCAUGCUUCGUGGAAAUGAUUCUUGUUCCUUUGGCAUACACUAUACCAUGUCAUCGAGCGCAAAAAGUUUUAUAAUCGACCACAUCAUUCUGAUUCAAAUAAAUUGUGUCAGAUUGCACCAGCAGUGAUCUUGGGAGCUUAAAGUGUUCAUCAAAGACAUGGGAAAAGUGGUCUUCGGGGCAUAUCACCUUCAAUGCAAGCUAUUUGUUUCAGAAGAAACUUUUGAUUGGCGUGUUUUAGCUCGUGGGAACACCCAACUCUUCUCUCUGGUGAACUGCACAUAGUGGUUCUAUGCUCAACGACAGCAGGCUGAGGCGAUCCUGAAGCGAUACUCCAGUCUAUGCUCCACAUCUACAUGUAAAAUACCUGCUUUGUUUUUCCUUUCUUUUGUUCUAUUGGCUAAGUUUUUAUCAUCUCAUUUUGUUUAUUCUCUGUUUAUCAGCGCAUCAUCUCCAGAGUAACUUCUUAUUGUAGUCAAAUCCAGUAGUAGAUGCUGAUCAUGUAAACUGGCCAAUGAUGUGCUCGUAGAAUAAUUAAAUUCUACUAUUGGGAGUUCAAACUGUUCUUUCCUGCAUGUAUUAGCAUGUGAAAACUAAAUCAACCAUAUCUCUUGAAACAUUCUGAAUUUCUUUUCUCUUAAUAUAUGCAGGGUCAACCAUCUUUACUGCAUUCAGUCUCCAUCUGUCACUCCCUAGUUAGUUGCCAUUUGCUUGCUGUAUAUCAUCUGAGGUCAAGGCUCAUCCUUGCUAUAUUCUGGGACUCUACUAUGGUUGCUGUGGGAUCUUCGUGAGGGGACCAAAUCCAAGACAGCACAAACCAGUGGAGGCCCACUGUUCAAUUGACGGAUCAUACAUCUGUUUGUGCGAACUGAUAGACAAGAUAUUGGUCGCUUAGACUUUGAAACACUUCUCUGUGCUUGUUGUUGAUUUUUCUUGAUACCUGGUUGUCCCAAAGGAAAAAGGCUUCUUGAUACCUGGUUGUCCCAAAGGAAAAGGCUUCUUGAUACCUGGUUGUCCAAAGGAAAAAGCUUCUAUCAGGCAACAAAAUUACCGGAAAAAUGGAUAGGUAACCCUUUUUGUAUUUUUUCUCUCCUCUGGAUAACAGUUGUAUUGAAUUCCUGUUUCGGGUUUGCAUUUUUCUUAGAGCGCCUUAUCUUUGCAGAUUCAAGUUGAUUAAGGAAGUUGGUGAUGGGACAUUCGGGAGCGUAUGGCGCGCUAUAAAUAAACAAAAUGGUGAAGUUGUACGUAUCCUAUGAUAUAUCACUCUUGCUAUCUUUACCUGAACUGUGAAACAAUGAAGUUGACGUCAAUGUUUCAUAUUAAUCCAAUGUAGGUGGCCGUUAAGAAAAUGAAAAGAAAAUAUUAUUCUUUCGAGGAAUGUAUGAGUUUACGUGAAGUAAAGGUACUUUAGCCAGUCAUGUACUCGUCUCUCUGAUGUUCUCUAGCAUAUUACUUACCUUCAAAUAACAUGUCUUCUUUAUUGAAGUCUUUGCGGCGCAUGAAUCACCCUAACAUAGUGAAGCUCAAGGAGGUCAUAAGGGAAAAUGAUAUAUUAUACUUCAUAAUGGAAUACAUGGUACUUAAGCACGUGAUUGAUAACAAAGUUUAUAACUACCCCAUAUCAUGCUUUUGUUGAAUAUUGUCCAUUGUUUCAUUUAGGAGUGCAAUCUCUACCAACUUAUGAAAGACAGAGUAAAGCCUUUCGCGGAGUCAGAUGUCCGUAAUUGGUGCUUUCAGAUUUUCCAGGCUCUUGCCUAUAUGCACCAGAGGGGAUACUUUCAUCGUGACCUCAAACCAGGUAGGAUUUCUUAUGUACUCAUCUACCCCCUGCCCUGUAUUUUUCUACCAGCCAAAUUAAAUGGAAGUCUGACAUUAGUGUAUUGUGAGUUGUAGUUAAAGCCUUCUAGCAGCUAUAGGUGUUCCAAUUUUGCAGAUCAACUGAUGCAUUUUUUUCAUUCAUUCAUAUUUUAUUGUUUUAUUAACUAUAUUGCUAUACCAUUCCAGAGAAUCUGCUGGUUAGCAAAGAUGUCCUAAAGCUAGCAGACUUUGGUCUAGCAAGAGAAAUUUCAUCUGCACCACCAUACACAGAAUAUGUGUCAACACGCUGGUUAGUGCCGCUCCCAUGGCCCCACCACACAGAGAACAACAAUGAUAUACUUUUUCUUGAACCCCAUGUGUUUCAAUGUCUUAGGUACCGAGCACCUGAAGUAUUGCUCCAGUCAUCUGCUUAUGAUUCUGCAGUUGGUAAGAACCUACUACUGUCUACUUUGUGCUUGCCUACACAUGCUAGCAACUAAUAAAUGGACCUUCUUCAUAACUUGGUAGAUAUGUGGGCAAUGGGUGCCAUAAUGGCCGAGCUGUUGACACUCCAUCCUCUUUUCCCUGGCACAAGGUAAUAUGGUUUACCAUAUCUUCUGCUAUUGUGACUGGCACUCUCUGCAUACUUCGUAUGAUUGUGUCUGUUCUUUUCCCCUCGUAGUUACCGUCUUUGAUCACUUGUUUCUUAUUUCACUGUAUAGUGAAGCAGAUGAGAUUCUCAAGAUUUGCAACGUUAUUGGUUGCCCAGAUGAGCAAACAUGGCCCCAGGGAUUGUCUCUUGCAGAGGCGAUGAAGUAUCAGUUCCCACAGGUCAAUAUUCAUGUUUCCUUGUCUAUAGUACUAUUGCUGUGAUUCUCCAGGUCAGCAAUUCUUGUGUAAGCAGUAGAAUUAAUACCUGUUAUUUGCGUUAUCUGUAAGUUACUAGCAUCUGUGAGCUGUGUUAUUUCCUUCGUCGUCAUGCAUUUUAUGCCCUCAUGUUAAUCUUAUGGGUCCUGUUUUCUUGAGAAUAUCAGGGCUGCUUCACUUUGCAUAUUGUGUAGCCUUCACACCUUUUUAAAUGUUAUGCAUGGUUUAUGGAGUGCAACUCCAUGUUAGGUUUGAAACAAGACACGAGUCAACAUCUUGUUCUAACUUGAUUCAUGACUUUAACCUAGAUUAUGUGUGAUCUCAUGCACUAUGAAUGCACAUGAAUACUUGCUCAGUGGUUCUUUGUAUAUGCAGAUCAGAGGCAGUCAACUGUCGGAGGUAAUGAAAUCAGCCAGUAGUGAGGCAGUUGACCUUAUAUCCGUAAGUCCUUCAAAUUUUUUGUCCUAGAUGACAUUCCCGAACUCAUUGGGUUUCCUAAUUUUCCUUUUCCUUCUACAUCUUGUAGUCUCUGUGCUCAUGGGAUCCUUGCAAGAGACCAAAAGCUGCGGAAGUUCUCCAACAUGCCUUCUUUAAGGUAAAACUAUUUUUCCGAUUGUUUUGUUGCUUUUUCUUUGCUCUGGAGACUAAUCGGUUUUCUUCUUGUCAUCCAACCAUUAGGAUUGUACAUAUGUUCCAGCUUCUGUCCGGCCAAAAGCUGCAGGCCCUCCUAAAACUCCUCCGGGUGGUUAGUAUACACACUUUUGCCCCAUAGCCUGUUCGUUCCUAAAGCCCUUGUUUUACUAUGAUUGGUCCAUUUGUUUCAGUUGGAGCAAGAGGACUUUCAGGACACAUUGCUCGGAGAUACUCCACUGGAGCUCUCUCCACAAGCAAACCUGCUGCCAACAUAUCUAUAAAACCGAGCAGCUUAUCUAAGAUCGGUAAUAUAUAUUAUCUCUUUUCUUGAAGUACUCAUAAUUAACUAGCAUUACCGUCUAAAUUGUAAAUCUGUUUAUCCAUCUUCCAGGUGUGCAAAGAAAACUUCAAUUGGAUCGCCAGGCACCACAGAAGAGUGCACGGCCCACUGAGAGUAACACCAAACAAACUACUAGUCGAGUACCGGCAAGGAAUAGCCCAGGCAAGUUUCCUAUAUAAAGCUGCUUUGCGUCCCAAAGCUUGUGGUCUGAUCAUGAAGAUCUUUUUUCUUUCUUUCACUGGAACCACAGGGAACGCGAACCCGAUAUUAAGGCAUUCACGCAGUUUACCUGAAACUGGCCGGGCAACGGUUCAGAAGGUUUCGACUAUCACCGAAAAGCUUGCUCAUAUGUCUGUGACCUCUCGAACACGCACGGCCGUGAAGCCCCCUGUCCCGCUGUUGAAGGCUGGGCAUCUCAAGUCAGACUUCCUCGGGAAAUCCGACGAAAUCCCUCCGGCAAAGAGAUUGACAAGAAAGUUGGUGAGCUAAAGGAGUAUAGAGUGAAGAACCGAUCAGCUGCAGCAGCGAGGCAUGUAGGCUACAGAGCGAAAACCAGGUUCGCCUCGGCGCCAACCGUGUGUUUUGCCUGUUCAUGGUCCUUGCGGUAGUUUCCUCCCCCUGCUUGCUUGGUUCAGGUGCCACGGUAGAGAAUGUGUUGUGAAUGUGCUCGAGCCUGCUGACCUUUCCCUGUACUGGGGUGUGGAUUUGCCCAUGCCCCGAGUUUGUCCCGUGUAUGAACAAAACAUGUGUGGUCUUGGUUUGGUUUGUGAACUAGUUUUCUCAAUCGUUCAUAUCGCAGACCGUUGUCCUGUUCAUGUGCAAUCUAACAGUCGACAAACCCUCCAAUGAAGAGGAUAAUUUGGCUUCGCUUGUACAGUUUGCGAGAUUUAAUAGAACACGUUAGUGUAUCCUGCCUGGUCAAAUUUUAAAUUUGUUGGGAAGUCCAUUCAUAUUUUUUGUUGCGCCGUGACAAUAUAUCUCCCUUACAUUUUCAAAGCUUUUAGGGUCUCUUUGGUUUGAAGUUUUUUGUUUUGUUUUGCAUUUGCAUUUGCUAUUGGUGAGUUUGCCUGAAAAUUGAAAGGCUGUAAGCCAACUUUUAGUCCAUUCGAUCCGAAAAAAUGGAUCGGGGUUCCACUAUCAAAUGGAUAAUUGGUGCAAGCUGAAGGAUAUUGCACCCCUCAUUCAUGAAAAAUUGGAAGGUGAGCGAGGCGCUCAAGGAAAAUGCGAAAAUGCUUGGAUUUAUAAAAUUAAGCUCUCCUAUGAUUUCUCCUGGGUUCAUAUCGUUGAGUUCAUUGACCUUUGGAUGCUUAUCCAUAUUUCCACCUUGAUGACCUCACUGAGGAUGGCAUUGUUGGGAAGCAUACAAAUGAUGAUCAUUACAUGACGACCUCUGCAAAUAAAGUGCAAUUCUUGGUGAUCAUCUUAUCCUCUAUGGAGCACACGGUUUGGAAGCUUGGCCCUCCCAAGGUCAAGUUUUUCAUGUGGCCUAUUCAAUUAAGGGUUUGGACGGCCGGCCGCUUGGCCAAGCAUGGAUGGCCAAAUUGCGGCCCUUGUCCGCUUUGCGGAAGGGAGGCAUCAUGCUUUGAUUUUGAAGCCUUGUCUUUGUCUGGCUUCAUCUUGGGACUUUUGAUACCUUCUUAUGGAUUGGUGGAUCAACCUCUCCGGGUUGACACCCAUGGCAUCUCUUACAAUGCUUGUGUAUUGGACAAUUUGAAACGAAAGGAAUUCCCGUGUCUUCCAUCACAAGAGUGCCCCUCCGUCUAUUUUGCUCAACAUGAUAAAGAAUGAGGCCAAGCUUUGAGUCAUCACCGUCUGUAGAUUUGUGAGGUGCCAGUUUGGGCGAGAUUUGUACUUGGCCAUGGCUGAAUUGUGGUCUGUACCACCACUUGAAUCGUUGAAACCCAUUGAGAAGGAAUGGCUACUGCAGGUCCUAGCUCCUCUAACUGAUACUCAGAGAAGUAUGGUGAUGCUAAUCUUUUGGAGAAGCUGGUAUGUCCGGAACGAAAUUAUUCACUUCAAACCUUCCCCACCUAUGGUUGUCUCGAUGCGGUUCUUACAGGAACAUAUGAAUAUUUUGUUCUGCAUCAAAAUAAACCCCCAUAUGGACCUGGCAAAGGGAAAGCACAACAUUAAUUUUGAACAAAGAGCCAUACCACAAGUGCAAGCCCCCGUUAAUGAAACUUCAUGGAAACUGCCUCAACAAGGUUGGGUCAAGCUUAGUACGGAUGGUUCUUACUCAUCGGAAGGUGGUGCGGGAGCUGGGAUGAUAUUGCCGAAUGUUGAUGGCACUAUUGCAUGGAAGGGGUGUCUUUUGCAAUUCAACGAUCUGAUCUUCCCAUUGAAAUCGAGAUGGAUUCGAGGGUGGCGGUGGAGAUGCUAUCCAGUGGUGUAGUGGAUCGUUCAGUUUAUGCUUCUUUAGUUGGUGAAAUUAAAUUUCUGUUAAACCUUAGGCAUUCUUGUAUUACUCAUGUCCCUGGCUGUCAGAAUAAAGCGAGUGAUAGGCAUGCCAGCUUUGCUAGAUUAGAAGGUCGGACCAUGACCUGGGUUGGGUCAGGACCUGAGGAUAUUGUGAAGAUUGUCCUGGAGGAUUGUAAGGACCUGGUAAUUGAGUAAUACAAGUUUUGUUUACCCGAAAAAAAAUAGUCAUCACCGUCUGCCAAAAAAUUAGGGUCAAUAAUGCCUGGAGAGUAAUCAUUUUAUCUUCUAAGGCUGGUCGCCUAUAACACAAACUCUAUUUUGCUCUUAAUUAAUAGAUGAGGCAAAACUUAUGCCUUUGUUUUGAAAAAAAUGAUAAUUGGUGUAAGUCAAUUAUUUGGGAGAAGAAAAGGAGGAAAGCUCCGCCCCGAGGCCGAGCCAGGAUAAAGCACUAGCCAGAGAUAGGCGGAGCAUUGACAUGGAGGAGGGGGUUUGCUUUUCGUGCUUGAUCGCCGCUCGGAUUAGGUAAAGUGCCGCCGCAACUAGAGGCAAGUUAGGGAGACGAGUGGCUAAUGAAGGGGUGGUUGGAGUAGGAAGAAAGGACAGAGGGAGAAGGAAAGGCUCAAUGAAAGUGUGUUUUUACUUUCUAGUCUCGGGCUCACAUGCACCCGGAUAAACAGUAAAAUCCAAAAAAAAUAUUACUGAAAAUCUAAAAAAAACUAUGUUUUUAGAUAAACACUGAUGAAUGUUUGAAUUGCAUGUGAAUUUUUGUUAUGAAAUCACAUUCGUGGAUGUGUGGGAAAAAAUAAAAUUAGUGCUUGAAAAUGAUACGAAAUCUUUUUGAAGUAUAGAUUCUGUUUUAAUAGCCCAGACCUCCACAAAUGCCAUUACAUCACAAAUUCUUGCACGCAGCUGAAACAGUCAAUCAAUGUUUACAUUAAUUUUUGUUUCAGAUUUUAGAUUUUUUUUUUGUUAUUCCCCCCUUCAGCUUUUACUGUUCAUAUGUGAGCAUGUGAGCUCGAGACUAGAAACUCAAUGUCCAUGCCACAUUUCUACCAAUAUUACUAUUCAUCAUCCAAGGUGCAGAAUAACUUAUUCUUCACCCGAGAUAAACUUUCGAUCACUUUAUAAACAAAUUACGUUUGGAAUACAAAUAUUUACAUUCAUAUUGAUUCACUACGUAAAAUUUGGUAUAAAAAAACAGAAAAAAGGUUAUAAGACCACAAAUAUCGUAUUUUAUGUAUGUUUUACACUAUGUUUUUACAUUCGUAAUUUUACGUAACAUAAAAUAUUUUAAUUUUACGUAACAUAAAAUAUUUUUUACGACGAGUAUAUAUAUUUUCUUACGUUCUCUUUUUACGUAUGAAAUAAGACACAAUUUACGAAACCUAAAAAUACGAUUCAUUGAUGCCUAAAUAGAGAGGGGGUGAAGAAUAAUUAUUUCUCACCCAGGGUGAUAUAUAUUUUGCCUGUUUCUUACCGUUGUGAAGUUCAUGUGAGAUUUAAACAGAUCAAAGUUCACACAAAGCAGGUAAAAAAAGAACAAAGAAACAAACGAAUCACACUGUUCAGCAAGAUACAAACCGAUCCAAAAAAAGGAAGAACCGGUAACUGUCCGGUAAACACAUUUUACACAAGGCGCAGCAGCCUGAACCAUCAACCUGCCGCCUCUCAAGACGAAUAGAACUAACGGCAGCACUAGCUUUAGUACAGUAUAAGUAUCACACCAUCACCAUCACUCUAACCUACAAGGCCCCCCUGGACCCGGGUCACCUGACGUACGUACGUGUUAGCUGGCUGCUUCAGUUCAGUGUGCCUCGCUCGCUCGUCGCUACAGAUACUGCGUGUGUAUCCGGUCCCGGUUCUGCUCCCACCACACCUUGGCCCGCUCCUCGCCGAACCGCUCCCGGCUGCAACCACACACACCAC